rnacentral:rRNA from 1 species
UACAGAGGGUGCAAGCGUUAAUCGGAAUUACUGGGCGUAAAGCGUGCGCAGACGGUCUCGUAAGUCGGGUGUGAAAUCCCCGGGCUCAACCUGGGAAUUGCAUUCGAAACUGCGAGGCUAGGGUACGGAAGAGGGAAGCGGAAUUUCUGGUGUAGCGGUGAAAUGCGUAGAUAUCAGAAGGAACAUCAGUGGCGAAAGCGGCUUCCUGGUCCAGUACCGACGUCGAGGCACGAAAGCGUGGGAGCAAACAGG